ensembl:lncRNA
UUUUUUGGUGAGGAAGAUUGGCCCUGAGCUAACAUCUGUUGCCAAUCUUCCUCUUUUUUCUUUCCUCCCCAAAGCCUCAGUAUAUAGUUGUAUAUCCUAGUUGUAGGUUCUUCUAGUUCUUCUAUGGGAUGCCAUCUCAGCAUGGCUUGAUGAGCGGUGCGUAGGUCCGCACCCAGGAUCCAAAACGGCAAACCCCAGGCCGCCAAAGUGGAGCGGGCGAACUUAACCACUAUGCCACUGAGCCAGCCCCAAGAAUUAUUUUUUUAAUGUCAAUAUUGACAAUAUAUUGUAAAAAAUAUCCUUUAUAACUAUUUAAAAUUAAAAUAAAAAUUUAGAUAUAGACUGUAAAUGUGUGAGGGGGCAUGUAAUUUUACAAAAUUCCUCUGGAGGAUAUGCAAGCCAAAAAAUGUGAAGCCCACUGGACACCAUUACAGGAUAACAUAUGUGGGGGAAUCCAAUAUAGCAGAAACUGAAAGAACAAAGAAACCACUCGUACAUGUUUGCUACUACGAUAUGGGCAAACUAUAUCACAUGAGGUAAUGUUUACAUAUGUGGUAGCUAUAACUAGUUUAAAAGCAGCUCUUUGUUCUCCUGCUUCUCGGGGGCAGGCACUGGCACACGUUGAGGAAAAGAAGUGACAGGACGGGCAUGUAAAUAGACUUGCUGAGGUGUCCCCCGAUUGAAUCUGGUCAAAUGACACUCAGAUUGGGAUAGAAGCCCACCCACAUGCAAGCAAGUGAAUCUGCUGGAGGCCCAGGUCACAAGGCCUCAGCGGGGGAUCUGCUCAUUUAAUACCUGAAACAAGGCCUCAUGAUAACCUCACUUUGUGGGGAGAAAUCAGUUCAGUGAAACUCUAACCAAGCAUAGGAAUCUUUUUAUCAUCAAGGUUUAAUUGGUUUAUUCUCCCAAAUUCCACUGGCAACAAAUUUAUUGUGCUCCUAGGGUGCCGUGCUGUAUUAUUUAUAAAUGCAGACAAUUCGAAAGCAGUAAAAUGCUUGGCCCUGGCUCUCAAUAAACUUGCUCUCUAAUUGGGAGGACAGCAUCCCAAUUAAAAUAACUGAAGACUAAUUCAAAGCAACAUGUAUGAAAUUCAUAACAACCCCACAAGAGGAACAAGUACCCUCACACUGUCCCGGUGGACAUACGCAUUGGUACAAACUUCUGUGGAAGGAAUUCGGGGACAGAGAUCAAAAUCACAACUACUUCUGGGAAUUCACCCUUCAGCCAUACUUAAGAUAUAACACAUUUACAAAGUUACUCACUGCAGUAUUAUUCAAAACAACAAAAGAUUACAAAGAACUCAAAUACCGUUCCAUAGAGGACUGACGAAAUAAAUUAUGCUGCAUAUAUACAAUGGAAUGUUUUGAAGGUAUAAAAAUGCAUGAGAAAGUUUUCAAUGCACAGAUAUUUUUUUAAGUCCCCAAGAUAUAUUAAUUGGAGGGGAAAAAAACCAGCAAGGUGUAGAAAAUGUGUUUAUGAUGCAUCCUUUUAUUUACAAAGAGGGAAAAACAAGAACACAGAAUAUAUUUGUAUUGCUUUAAUAUUCAUAAGUAAACUCUAGAAGCAUACACACAAAAACUAAAAGUGGAUGAGCUGCGGUGAGUUGUGGGAGGGUGAAAACAGGAUGGAAGCAGCCGGGGCAGAAGGGAGACUUUUGCUGUAUAAAACACAUAAAUAUAUUUUCCACUAUGGGAAUGUCUUCCUAUUCAAAACAAUUAAGAAAAGAAUAAUGAAAAACAUCCCCCGUGGAGGCCUAGCACAAUGAGAAGCUGGUUUCUGCGGGACUGGCUCCUCCUCGUCCUGUCUCAAGCAUGGACGCAAGGUUUGCCCAGCCCUGGGAACAGUAGGGACAAUGAACGAGAGUGGAGAGCAGAGUUUCUGCACUGGCAGCACUGGGCUGUUUCUGCCGGUGCCCUCAUGUCCGAGGGCUUCUGAGCCACCCCCUGCAGGUGCCUGUCCUUCACCAGAGACCGGAGCCCAUUCCUCCCCGCCUCCCCUGGUGCCAGGAUGUUCAUGACCAACCAUCCUCACCAGUUGCCAGAAUCCUUAAGCAGCUGGCUUUCAUGUUUAUGACGGGAGGGCAAAAGAGGGAGGGCAGGGUUGAUUAAGGAAACUUCUAUUCAGGGAGGAGUGAAGUCCAGGAGGUCAAAGAGUCGGGGACAGAUGCCUGGCCCGCUGCCAAGUCAAGCUUGGAAAAUACUCCCCCAAAAUACCACUGUGACAUCUGCCCAAAUGUGAACACUGCUGGCUUGAAGUUGUGUAAUCAUGGGUGAUUUUUUUCUGGUCUUUAUGCUGCGAUGUGCUUUCCAAUUUUUUUUUUAAUGAGUAUAGAUUAUUCUUAAAAACCAAAAAAAUUUGCAUACAAUGUGAAAUAUAUAUAUAUUAAAAACGAAACCAAACUACUCUUCUUAUGUAGUCCAGAAACUCUGAAAGAUAAAGAAAGGAAGCUCAGAUGGGCAGCAUAAGAAUUUUACAGCUAUAAACAAUAAAAAUAAGAAUAAUAUAAUUUUUAAAAAUUUCCUAUAAUGCUGAGGAUGUCACCUGGUCUGAGCUACGUUCCUAGUCAGGCUGGGCAGAGCGGAACUGCCCACGGGUCCAGGGCAGGAAAGGACAGUCAUUACAGAGAUGCCUGCAUUAUUGUAUGCUCUCUAGCUGGCGCAUCCCCACUCUCUUCCUCUCACUAGGUUUGAAACUUGAUAUUUAGCACUCAAACUUCUUUCCUCCCUCUACUCUCUAAACCCAAAUGAUGAUGAUGGUUCUAUUCAUCUUCUCAGAAACUUAAAAAAUAUAUUUUGAAAUGUGGCCAAUUUUUGUCUCAGCUCCUUAGUAAUCUUAGGAAAAGUAAACUAAUACUCAAAUUACUUGAGUAGGUUUGGGCGUAGUUGAGGCCAGCAAAGUUUCUCACCGUUUAACAGUUUUAUUUAAUGGAAAGGCAGUAAAGCCAGAUGCAAAACUGAGCCCCUCAAUGCUCGAAAAGAAUAUAGUGGACCUUGAUAUUUGCAACGGAUUUAUCCUAAAAUCUUCCCGAAUCCCGGACUUGGGAACAGAACCACCACACAAAAUUUCCCCCUUUAUCGGUCAGGGCUCUUUUGAUGGUAAAUGAUAGAAACUCACACGACAGAAAGUGGAGUGUAUUGGAAGGCAGAAUUCAAGGAAUGACUGAACCACCAAAUCUAGGAAAACACAGGCAUGCAGUAGGCUUCCAAAAAACAGGACCCAGGGACACAAACACCACCAGGACCCUGUGCAUCUCUCAUUUACGCUUCUUGCUGCAAGCCAUUCUCAUUGCCUUCUCCAAUGACAGGAAAUACGGCCACUGAGAGGUCAAAAAUUACCACUGGCAAGGAGUUCCUCAAGCUCUUUCUGGUUGUAAAUUCAAAAAUCCUGAGAAGUCCUUGAUUGGCCAGGGAAGGUCAGGUGUCUACCCUGGACCAAUCAGCUGUCAGCAUGGCAGUUCCUUCUAGAACUACAUGGCUGAAGUGAAGAAGCAGCAGUUCUCAGAACACAGCGGGUGCUGGACAGCCCAAAAUAAACAAACAGACAGACAGAGGUCUCCUAUACUCCAGUAAAAAGGAAUAAUGUAAAACUGAAAAAUGUAAAUGAUAUUUCAGACCCUUAUGGGAGUCAUUAUUUAUGCACAAAGCUGCAGUGAGAUGAAGAGGCUGGGCCUCUGCCUGGGAGCUCUCGGAAGCCAAGAGCUUCUGUCCUAUACAGCAGCCUCACAGCACACACAGUUCAAGAUCACUCUACCUUAGCAAAAUUCAAACUUUCAUGUGUCAUGGCCUUCUGAUUGCUCACAGAUGGUAAAUUAUAAAUGACAAGGGUCUAGAAUGCCUCAGAGAAAAGCAUUUCUAAUGGCAAGUGCUUCUCUGAAAUGAAUAGAUUCAUUAUAUAAAAAGGCAGAAUGGUUCUCAAUGAGCCUGCAUCCUGACUCAUCUUGACACCACCUGCUCCUCCCCACCUACUCAAUGACCAACGAACUCCUGUUGUUUCUACAUCAGUGGCAACUCUCCAAUUAGUCCCUUCCCCUUCAACUACCACUGUCCUGCUUCAAGUCCCCAUUAU